GACAGAGGGUGCAAACGUUGUUCGGAAUUACUGGGCGUAAAGCGCGUGUAGGCGGUUUGGUAAGUCGGGUGUGAAAGCCCUGGGCUCAACCCAGGAAGUGCAUUCGAAACUGCUAAGCUUGAGUACUGGAGAGGAAGGCGGAAUUGUCGGUGUAGAGGUGAAAUUCGUAGAUAUCGGCAGGAACACCGGUGGCGAAGGCGGCCUUCUGGACAGAAACUGACGCUGAGACGCGAAAGCGUGGGGAGCAAACAGG
rnacentral:rRNA from 1 species